rnacentral:snoRNA from 12 species
CCCAGUGGUUGUCAGCUACCAAGGCUAAUGUGCCUUGGGUGGUGUUACACUGCUGGAAGAGCAAUCAUUGCCUUGAAUGACGUAUGAGUCUGAGCACUGUUUUAGUGUGAUGACAGUACCUUGGGGCAAUGCCUUGCACCUCUUGAGAGUGGAAUGACUCCUCCUGUGGAGUUGGUCCUAGUCUGGGUGCAAACAUA